UACGUAGGGGGCAAGCGUUGUCCGGAAUCACUGGGCGUAAAGCGCGCGCAGGCGGUCAUCUACGUCUGGGGUGAAAGCCCGGAGCUCAACUCCGGGACUGCCUUGGAUACGGGAUGACUUGAGGAUCGGAGAGGCAAGGGGAAUUCCACGUGUAGCGGUGAAAUGCGUAGAGAUGUGGAGGAACACCUGUGGCGAAGGCGCCUUGCUGGCCGAUUUCUGACGCUGAGGCGCGAAAGCGUGGGGAGCAAACAAG
rnacentral:rRNA from 1 species